ensembl:miRNA Gm23578 predicted gene, 23578
UGUAUGUGCAUGUGUGUAUAUUUAUGUGUGCAUGAAAAUGUAUGUAUAUAUGAAUAUACAUAUACAUACAUACCCACACAAACAUGCACACACACACAAACACA